UUGGGGGAAAAAUUAGUAUAAAUAUUAAAUAAUAAAAAUAAUUUUAAAAUAUUUAAAAAUAGGGGGUUUAAGUAUUUUAUAAAGAAAAAAUUAUUUAAUUUAUAGAAAAUUAGUAUUGUGAAAGAAUUUUGAAAUAAUAUUGAAAAUUAAUUUAUUUAUAAGUAAAUUUUAAUUAUUGUAUCUUGUGUAUCAGAGUUUAUUAAUAAAUUAAUUUUAGUUAUAAUUUUCUCGAAUUUAAAAGAGUUAAUUAAUUAUAAAAUUUAUUGUAGCAAAAAUAUUUUUAAUAAUUAAUUGGAAAUGAUAUGUUAAUCGUUUUUAAAUAUAUCUAGUUUUUUUAGAAAAAAAUUAAAUUUUUAAUAAAUUUAAUUAAAAAUUUAAUUUAUUAAAUUUUUAAAAAUAAAUUUUAAUAUUUUAAGGGAUAAGCUUUAAAAUAAAAAUUAUUAUAAAAAAAAUAAAUUUGAAAUGAGAAUUAUAAAAUUUAUAUUGUUUAUAAAUUAUAUUUUUUUAUAAAUAAUUUCAUUAAAAUUAAAAUUUAAUAUUUUUUUAAUUUUAUAUAAAAAAAUAAAGUUUAUUUAAAUAAUUUUAAUUAUAAUGAUAAAAUUAGUAUAAAUAGUUAAAAUUAAUUUAUAAAAUUUAUUUUUAAGUUAAAUAAUAAGGAAUUCGGCAAAAAUUUAUAUUCACUUGUUUAUCAAAAACAUGUCUUUUUGAUUAUAAUUUAAAGUCUAAUCUGCCCACUGAUUUAUUAAAGGGCUGCAGUAUUUUGACUGUACAAAGGUAGCAUAAUCAUUAGUCUCUUAAUUGGUGACUUGUAUGAAAGAUUGGAUGAAAUAUAAACUGUCUUAUUUUUAAUAUUUAAAAUUUAAUUUUUUAGUUAAAAAGCUAAGAUAAUUUUAAAAGACGAGAAGACCCUAUAGAGUUUUAUAUAAUUAAAUUAAUUAGAAAUUUUUUUAUAAAUUUUAAGUUUAAAUUAUUAAUUAUAUUUUAUUGGGGUGAUAGAAAAAUAAAAAUAACUUUUUAUAUAUUUAAUAUUAAUUAUUAUUAAAUAAAAUAUUAAUUAAACAUUGAUUAAUGAAUGUAUGAUCCAAAAUUUUUGAUUAUAAGAAUAAAUUACCUUAGGGAUAACAGCGUAAUUUUUUUUUUUAGUUCAAAUAAAAAAAAAAGUUUGCGACCUCGAUGUUGGAUUAAGAUAAAAUUUAAAUGCAAAAGUUUAAAAUUUUGAUCUGUUCGAUCAUUAAAAUCUUACAUGAUCUGAGUUCAAACCGGUGUAAGCCAGGUUGGUUUCUAUCUUUAAAUAAAUUAAAUAUUUUAGUACGAAAGGAUUAAAUAUUUAAAAUAAUUUUUAAUUGAUAAUGAAUAUUAUUAAUAUUAAAUUAUAUUUUUAAAAAAAAAUAAGUUAAUAUUUAUAAAUAGUUUAAUAAA
rnacentral:rRNA from 1 species